CUCACAGUUCAGUGAGAAGAAAGCCUUCAAUGGAUCUAGUUGUGUUGGUGCUUGGUUUCUCCUGUCUGCUCCUCCUUUCACUCUGGAGACACUGCUAUGGUGGCUCACAAAGGAGGAAAAGAAUACCUGUUGAUAAACAAAAUAUAGUUUAAAAGGGAUUUAUGAUUUUUGGCUGCAAGUUAAUGGUAAGGGAGUUUUGAUUAGAGAUUUUAUUAGGUAAGUACCAUAUUAUCCCUGUAUUUUAUUCAGAAUUGUCUUGAACUUUUCUGAAGACUCAUUUAAAGCCUGAUGUCAAGGCAGUAGCUAUGGGCUACAGAAUAACAUAAGAAAAAGCAGUGUAAUCAGUCACAAAUACCCAAAUCAUUUUGCAUUACCCAAAAAUAAUUGUUCUGGGGUCAAGAAUGUGGGAAGGGAGAAUUGUGCUUUUAGGAGAUAUUGCAUGUCCCUUCAUUGCCUCAACCCUACCUCCCUCCUACUCCACCACUGCCCCCUGUAUAGUACGAGUAGACUUCAUGUUGAGCUGGGCAGGACAAUACAGAUUUCUAGUGUUCAUCCCAGGACUCUUAUGAUAUCCAAAGAAAGAACUUUAGCAAUCUGUAGCAGAAUCUGUAGCAGUCUGCUGCAUAUUGACUUCAAAGUGGGCAUGG
rnacentral:lncRNA from 1 species